rnacentral:hammerhead_ribozyme from 1 species
AUCCGGCUGACGAGCCUCAAAUAGGACGGAACACUUGUCCUAGAU